GUCGGGAAUUUUGGGCAAUGGGGGAAACCCUGACCCAGCAACGCCGCGUGAGGGAUGAAGGCCCUCGGGUCGUAAACCUCUGUCGGGAGGGAAGAAAGCUUUGCGGGCGAAUACCCCGGGGAGCUGACGGUACCUCCAAAGGAAGGUCCGGCUAACUCCGUGCCAGCAGCCGCGGUAAUACGGAGGGACCAAGCGUUGUUCGGAAUCAUUGGGCGUAAAGCGCGUGUAGGCGGCUUGGUAAGUCGGAUGUGAAAGCCCGGGGCUCAACCCCGGAAUUGCAUUCGAAACUGCCAGGCUAGAGUCCCGGAGAGGAGGGCGGAAUUCCCGGUGUAGAGGUGAAAUUCGUAGAUAUCGGGAGGAACACCAGUGGCGAAGGCGGCCCUCUGGACGGUGACUGACGCUGAGACGCGAAAGCGUGGGGAGCAAACAGG
rnacentral:rRNA from 1 species